AAAAUGCGUGUCCGUACUAUAACCAUGAUCAGAGAUAGCUAUAAGAUAUGCUCAGCUGUGUGCAUCUACCCUCACAUCCAACUCUGUUUCCAACCCCCCAUUUCAAAGGCCACCAUUAUAAACAUUUGCUUCCUUCUAACCCACCGUCGUUCUUCAAGUUCUCUCCCUUAGGCCAUAUAUUGUUGUUCAUGUCAAAUGGAUAGCUUGAAUUCUUACCAUCAAGGGCGAUACUUUUACAUGGAGAUAAACCCAGAUUUGGGGAUGGGUGAACUUCCAUACACAUUCUUUCGGAGAUUCAAAGAUGUCAUUCCAAGUUCCAUGACAUUUUGUGAUUUUGCUGGUAAUGAGGUUGAUGUGGUUAUCGACAAGUGUCACCGAACGGGUAUAGUUGUUCAUGGCUAUAAUAAUCUUGCUGCGCUUUAUGGCCUAAAAGAAGGAGGUUGGUUGAGUGUAUGUUAUGUUGGUCAAGACAAGUUCUUGGUUGUUGACGUCAAGGACCAUUAUAUGCGCUCUAAAGAGCUGUGUUCCCCACCAUUGAAGCUCACUGUUGAGGUCAAGCCAUCCGUUCCUAUUGAGGAAGUAAUCGACAUAUCUGAUGACAUAUGUAAUGAAAGUCCCGUCGUUGAUCCAGUUGAAUUUGUAACAAUUCCUGAAAUCCUGCAUCAACAAGAUAAUUCUACUCCCUUUAAUCCAAAUUUGGCUGACACAAUUAACGAGCAUCAUAUUCUUCCACAAUCUGUUAUCGACACAUUGACUUGCGUUGAUCCCACCGUUUAUGCCGGUCUUGAACCUUAUUCAGGUAAAGUCAUUUCCUCCCCUAACAAGCAUGUCCAAUAGGAAUAAUGUGAUCCAAUACCACAGUUAUUAUCUUUUUCUGGUGUUCCUUCCUCGCCCAGUCUAACAUUUCCACCAACUGGUACCAUAUCUGCCCCGCUAGAGCAGACUAUUCACCAUUCAAACACUAGCCCUUAUGUUGUUACUAAUCAUAAUACAGUGUCUCCCAAUAGCCGUAGCCCCACACCACCACCACCUCAUAAUAGCCACGUCAUCCUACCACCGCACUUUCCUCUACAACUAGAGUAUUAUUCUGUGGUUAGGAUGAUAUCCAAGUAUCAGUCAACUCACUACUCUAUGCUUCUUCCUUCUGCUUUUUCGUCGCAAGCAUUUCCUUCGAGACUCGAUUUUGUUCGUGUUAGGGAGCUCCGCAACCCACCUAUAGUAAUGAAGCUUCGCUGGCGGAGUCUGAGGUCAUCAGAAGCCUUCCUUACAAGGGGAUGGAGAAGAUUUUCCAUUGACCAUGGACUAAAGUGUGGAAGUGUUGUCAGAUUUUCAGUGCCCACUAAUGAUGAAACCACAAUCUUUGUCUCUAUAUUACGUCUGUGAAGACCAAAUCACUUAAUUAUGUCUUAUGGCUAAGCAAUGGAUCUGACUUUUGACGUAUUUUGUUAGUGCUAUAUGUUAGCGUUAUAUGUUAUGAUAUUAGUUGUACUGAUCCCAAAUAUAAUAUUAAUGAAGUUGGCUUUUUAAUGCUU